CCGAUAAGUUGAACGCAUAUUGCGCAUCGUGCGACACAGCUCGAUGUACACAUUUUUGAGUGCCUAUAUUUGACCCAGGUCAAACUACGUACCUCCGGGUACGUGCAUGAUGAUGAAAGAGUUUGGAACACCAUCCUUCUCUUGCAUUGAAAACGCAGCGUGUAGCAACCCCAGGUUUCAACUUGCAAAGUGGCCAUGGGGCUGACACCUCACCACCAUCAGCGUGCUGUGUAGCGUGUUCGGCCCAGUUCGGUCAUCGUGAGGCGUUACCUAACGGGGAGGCACACACUGUUGCGCGUAUCUACAUGGUUACCCAACCAUAGCAGCAGAGAUACAACACCGGCUCCUAGUAGCCCAUGGGCCUCAAAUA
rnacentral:rRNA from 1 species